rnacentral:rRNA from 1 species
UACGUAGGGUGCAAGCGUUAAUCGGAAUUACUGGGCGUAAAGCGUGCGCAGGCGGUUUUGUAAGUCUGACGUGAAAUCCCCGGGCUCAACCUGGGAAUUGCGUUGGAGACUGCAAGGCUGGAGUCUGGUAGAGGGGGGUAGAAUUCCACGUGUAACAGUGAAAUGCGUAGAGAUGUGGAGGAACACCGAUGGCGAAGGCAGCCCCCUGGGUCAAGACUGACGCUCAUGCACGAAAGCGUGGGGAGCAAACAGG